GAUGAACGCUGGCGGCGUGCCUAAUACAUGCAAGUCGAGCGAACAGAUAAGGAGCUUGCUCCUUUGAAGUUAGCGGCGGACGGGUGAGUAACACGUGGGUAACCUACCUAUAAGACUGGGAUAACUUCGGGAAACCGGAGCUAAUACCGGAUAACAUUUAGAACCGCAUGGUUCUAAAGUGAAAGAUGGUUUUGCUAUCACUUAUAGAUGGACCCGCGCCGUAUUAGCUAGUUGGUAAGGUAACGGCUUACCAAGGCGACGAUACGUAGCCGACCUGAGAGGGUGAUCGGCCACACUGGAACUGAGACAUGGUCCAGACUCCUACGGGAGGCAGCAGUAGGGAAUCUUCCGCAAUGGGCGAAAGCCUGACGGAGCAACGCCGCGUGAGUGAUGAAGGGUUUCGGCUCGUAAAACUCUGUUAUUAGGGAAGAACAAAUGUGUAAGUAACUGUGCACAUCUUGACGGUACCUAAUCAGAAAGCCACGGCUAACUACGUG
rnacentral:rRNA from 1 species